rnacentral:rRNA from 1 species
CUUGCUAAGUUUGAUGGCGACCGGCGCACGGGUGAGUAACACGUAUCCAACCUGCCGAUGACUCGGGGAUAGCCUUUCGAAAGAAAGAUUAAUACCCGAUGGCGUAGUUCUUCCGCAUGGUAGAACUAUUAAAGAAUUUCGGUCAUCGAUGGGGAUGCGUUCCAUUAGGUUGUUGGCGGGGUAACGGCCCACCAAGCCUUCGAUGGAUAGGGGUUCUGAGAGGAAGGUCCCCCACAUUGGAACUGAGACACGGUCCAAACUCCUACGGGAGGCAGCAUG